GAGACAGCAGUAGCCGCGGUAAUACGUAGGGUGCAAGCGUUAAUCAGAAUUACUGGGCGUAAAGCGUGCGCAGGCGGUUUGUUAAGACGGAUGUGAAAUCCCCGGGCUCAACCUGGGAACUGCAUUCGUGACUGGCAAGCUAGAGUAUGGCAGAGGGGGGUGGAAUUCCACGUGUAGCAGUGAAAUGCGUAGAGAUGUGGAGGAACACCGAUGGCGAAGGCAGCCCCCUGGGCCAAUACUGACGCUCAUGCACGAAAGCGUGGGGAGCAAACAGGAUUAGAUACCCCAGUAGUCCCUGUCUCUUAUAA
rnacentral:rRNA from 1 species